rnacentral:lncRNA from 1 species
CUCCUGCCUCAGCUUCCUGAGCUACUGGGAUUACAGAGAUUUUUUUUUUAACAAAAGUGAUUUUUUAAUGACAAUUGCAGAAAGUGAUGUAUUUGUUUUGUUUGUUUUGUGUUCUGUUGUUAAUGAGGGUGGCACUUCCACCUUGCACAUACUGGAAAGGAUAUCAAUUAGAAACCUGUUGACCUUGCAGAAUGUAAAUCUCAAAAGCUCUUUAAAGACACAAAAACAUCCACCCCCAAACACUGCCUGUCACUUUGUGUGGAGCCCAUGAUGGGAUAGAGCCAUCUCACUAGGUGUCAGAAGCCAGACUUCAGUGGUGGCUGGGGUGUAGAAUAAAGGACUUAACAACUUGUCCUCCUUUUUCAGGUGCUAUACUAUUAAUCCUCCAUGUAGUUGUAAUACCCUGUAAGAACCCACACACUUCUCACCUGGGGUUUAGCCUCAAGGAUUAGCAGUAGACCAACUAAUAACCCAAAUCUCUGUGCUUCAAGAGAGAAUAAUAUAAAAUUUCAGUAUCAGUACCAUAUCGGUGGCCCAGUCUUGCACAAACCAGUGAAAUACAUUCUUCAGGGACCACAAUCUUCAAUACAACAUCAGAGGUGGGAGACAAACCACAUAGAAUGUUUCUGAGCUUUCUCACUUUGAACUAGAAAAAAACUGCUAUAACUCAGACACAGUCUCCUGACAGAAUAUAUUUUUGUUUUCUGAAGAAACAGAAUAAUUGCAAAUAAAAGACAUUUGGAUAAUAAGAUAUGGAGGAGCCCUACUCAAAUGUUGGCAUAUCAUGUAGUGAUUACAAAUUAAAACCAGAAGUUAGAAAGAGCCAUCCAUUCAGGCAUCCAGAGUUUCAAGUCUAGUUCCUAGUGCAAAUUCCCCUAUAUGAAUGGAGAGUCAUUGAGUCCAGAUUAUUUAAAGAAAACCUCUCAUGGAAUCGAG